rnacentral:rRNA from 1 species
CAGUCGCCACGGUAACACGUAGGUGGCAAGCGUUGUCCGGAAUUAUUGGGCGUAAAGGGCUCGCAGGCGGUUUCUUAAGUCUGAUGUGAAAGCCCCCGGCUCAACCGGGGAGAGUCAUUGGAAACUGGGAAACUUGAGUGCAGAAGAGGAGAGUGGGAUUCCACGUGUAGCGGUGAAAUGCGUAGAGAUGUGGAGGAACACCAGUGGCGAAGGCGACUCUCUGGUCUGUAACUGACGCUGAGGAGCGAAAGCGUGGGGAGCAAACAGGAUUAGAGACCCCCGUAGUCCCUGUCUCUUAUAC